rnacentral:rRNA from 1 species
UACGGAGGGUGCGAGCGUUGUCCGGAAUCACUGGGCGUAAAGGGCGCGUAGGCGGCCUGAUAAGUAGGGGGGUGAAAUCCUGCGGCUUAACCGCAGGGCUGCCUUCUAAACUGUCAGGCUUGAGCACAGUAGAGGCAGGUGGAAUUCCCGGUGUAGCGGUGGAAUGCGUAGAGAUCGGGAAGAACAUCAGUGGCGAAGGCGGCCUGCUGGGCUGUUGCUGACGCUGAGGCGCGACAGCGUGGGGGAGCAAACAGG